rnacentral:rRNA from 1 species
ACUAAGCAACUAGCCCCACCAACCAAAAACAAUAAACCAACAUUUAUAAACCCCAAAACACUAACACCCCCUUAAACAAAUCAUUUUAUACCCUAGUAUGGGCGACAGAAAAGGAAAUAUGGAGCUAUAGAGUAAGUACCGCA